AGCAGUAGCCGCGGGAAUACGUAGGGUGCGAGCGUUAAUCGGAAUUACUGGGCGUAAAGCGUGCGCAGGCGGUUCGUUAAGACAGAUGUGAAAUCCCCGGGCUUAACCUGGGAACUGCAUUUGUGACUGGCGAGCUAGAGUAUGGCAGAGGGGGGUAGAAUUCCACGUGUAGCAGUGAAAUGCGUAGAGAUGUGGAGGAAUACCGAUGGCGAAGGCAACCCCCUGGGCCAAUACCGACGCUCAUGCACGAAAGCGUGGGGAGCAAACAGGAUUAGAUACCCGAGUAGUCCCUGUCUCUUAUAC
rnacentral:rRNA from 1 species